rnacentral:lncRNA from 1 species
GAUACGAUAUGAGACUCUCAAACGAUUCCUACAAAACCAAAAAUCUUAUGAGGUACGUUUUCAACUCCACCUUUUUCUGUACCAAAACCUCAAAUCCAUUUCCCCUCUUUUUCGAACAAUUUCUCAUCUGGGUCCCCUUCCGUUUGCUGUUUUGUUUCAGUCCCACUUCAGAAAAAGAAACUUUUAUGUAGUUUGUUAUAUGAUUCUCCUAAUCCAUUUUUGUGUCGAAAGAGUCAAUAUUUGUCCGAUUCCUAUCGCGGGUUAUCUUCAAUUUGCAAUUUUGAAUCGCAUUCACUCCAUAAAAAGUGGUUUUUAUGCAAUUUGUCUUCUGAGUCUCCUUCAAAAAUUCGUUCUUUAGUACAACCGUUUUCGGAAUCUUGGAGUAUAUUUAAUCACAAUUGUAUCAAUAUCUGCUCAUUGUGGAAGCCAUUGUAGGCCUUUUUUCUGUAUCAUCCUCCCGUGCAACUUUUCCUUUUGUUGCUUCUGAUGAUGAUAUAGUUCAGAGUGUCAGUGCUGUUUAUACUGAUGAACUUAAGUUAGAAAAGAAAAUAAUCGAUGGCAAUGAAAUGAUGAUAUGGUUCAGAGUGUCGGCGCUGUUUGUGAAAAUUACCUGCAAUUUCCUCCUCAGCAGGUUGAUUUCCUCUGGGAGGUCCUGGAUAUUCCAUGGACCUUUUGCUUGUUGAUGAAAUAUAUGGAUAUUAAUAAAGAAUCUAAUUCUGCUGUUCUGCCCAAGUCUCAGAAAAGCCCUGUUUCAUACACAAUGUUAAUCCGGUAACUAAAGCCCUGAAUCCUGCCUCAAGGCUAUUGUAUUCACUAUAACAAUAAUAAUAUUAUGCGAACAUGACAAAGCCCUCAUGAUCCCUUGCUAACCCCCUCCUGCUGCUGAGUUGGUUAUCGAGUAAUCUGUGCAUGUCUGCAUAAUUAUAUAUCUAAUUGCCUGUCUGCAUUAGCAUAUAAGUAUAAAGCUCAAACUUUUUCUCAAUACAGUAAUUCCCUCCCUGUAUGCAUAGGUUAAUAUUUGUUGCGAUAUUCUUUCAGGUGCUAUUAUACUUUUUGAAAAGGACUGGAUUGGAAUUGUUACUGUUGGUAACAUAAAUAAACUUUCUUAUUGUUUGAAAGAAACUUUGGUAGUUAACAAUUUACAAGCCAAGAUCUCCUUCUGGCUACGCAAUUUGCACUUUUUACUAUCAUUUUUCAAUAACUUUCAAGAACAGUUCAAACAGGAAGACAAACAGGCUGUUUACUUUUACCUCUUGUUGCUUGACUUCUAUCUUUAUGUGUAUCCAGAUUGCCAUCAGGGGUGUUGCUUGGCUGCUGCAACAAUUCCGGAAUUUGGCAGACAUGACUAAGGUUAAUUUUAUUAAUAACAUUCCAAAAGUUGUUAAAUGGAGUAGAUAUCAACUGUAUAGGAAACAUGGUUGGUCAAAGAAAAUGGGUACA